UUUUGGAAUCCUGAAGCCUUCUUAAAAAUGUUUUGGCUUAGAUUACUUAUCAUAUCAUGCAAUCUUGACCUUCCCUAACACCUCAAAUGUCUUCCGGGGGCAUUGAAAGUUCUUCAUUGGUAUGGAUAUCCUAUUAAAGCUCUUCCUUCUUACGAGCAAAUGGAUCAACUCGUAUAUCUCGAAAUGCACAAUAGCAAAAUAAAGCAUCUUUCUAAUGAUAAUAGACAGGUUUAAAUCUAAUGGAUGCAGGAGAAUGUGGUUCGUUGAGGACUUUGUCAGGCAAGAAAUUGUUAUGUCUCUUUGAUUCAAUGGAACAGGAUGGCCAACAUGCUCAAGGAUUGGGGAAAAUUACAACUUUUUCAUUGACUAUUCCAGGGAUUGAAAUACCACCAUGGUUUGAGUAUCAGAAUCAUCUUCCUCUGAAUGAGAAACAUGCAGCUUCUAUGGCCAUAGAUAUCCCUGAAGGUGAAUGGUUGGGAAUUGGGUUAUGCACUGUAAUUGAUCAUAAGAUUUGCUUGCCUUGCUGGGGGUUUGAUUUCAAAGAUUCCGAUGGUAAGCAUGUAUCCCCCCCAGCAAGGACGCGUGAACACGAGAAAGAAAUAAAAUCUUCUCACCUGUGGAUCAUGUUUUGGAAAAUUAAUGAGGAAAACAGAGAUGAAAUAUCAAGGAAUUUUUACAAUCAGAUUCGCUUGAAAUUUUGUACUGAUUGGGGGCGGCCUCCAUCUGAACUGGAUGAUGCAGAGCCAAUUAAGUGUGGAUGGCGUUUCAUUCGCGAAGAGGAUUUGGAUUGACUCAAUGAUGGUGGUGAAACCUCCCAAGCUAUAAUCGGAGAAUGCGAAACCAUGCCUUCUGAAACUUCAUCUUUAUGCUUAGAAGAUGAAUUCAAAUCAGAUGAUUCAUGGAUGCAGUUCAUUCCAGAUGAUGCAAAGUUUUGGUUUUAGACAGAGAAAGACAGACACCAAUGAGCUUACUAGUCCUGAAUCGAAUGACGUAUAUGCUGUUGGCUCUACGAGGUUUCUCAACAUGUUGACGCUCAUCCGCUGUCCAUAGAUAACUUCUCUUUUCCUUC